rnacentral:lncRNA from 1 species
CUUGCAGCUACAACUGCAAAUAUGAAGUUGAGUUCAUGCAUGCAUCCAGUAGCAGAUUUACAUUCUAAAAUGAGACAAAAUAGAGUGCAAAGUUUAUUUGUCUUAUAGUUUCCCACCUUCAUAACCUGAGGUCACAUGGCCCAGUUAGGGAAGAACAUCUAAUAUUCUGUUUUGAGUGAACUUAAACUUUAGUCUGAAAAUUCAAGCACCAAAGCAGGUCAAUUAUUUUGAUAAAAUAUUUUUGCGAAACUGGAAACUAAUCCACAAUAAACUUAUAUUUCAUACCAUGGAAUAUUUCCUUGCACCAUGCAUAACUCAAAUACUCGCUCAAUAGUAUGUUUCACAACUUGCAAAAUGCAAGUCAAGUACUUCUGAUGUUAACCAAAUUUUAUCAUUAUUAGUGUGUCUACUGGAAGCUCCAAACAUUAGAUCUUUGUCAACAAUUAAAAUUAU